GUGGGCAUGUACGUGCAACACACAUAUAACCAUGAGGGGAAAAUGUCUUGUAUAAACAUUUUUUGCAUGUAAUACAUAGUAUGUAGAUUCUGCAAAGAGGAAAUUCAUCACAUUCAUAUUUGAUUAGUUUUGCAGACAUGUAAUUCAUCUCAUUCUGACCGUAGUGGGACUUUUAUCAAAAUGAAACAUCAGUCAUCUGUAGGCACUAAAAAUGACGUAAUUAAAGGGAAAUUUUGGCAUGCCCUUGGAUAAACAAACGGCGUAUGACACUGAUGAGGUUAGUAAUAAUAUAGCCAAAAUAGCCAAGCGAAAACUGAAACAGCGACUCUACGUGAUCCUCCCGCAUUGUACAACAACAUAUACAGUGGUGUCGGGACAAAAUAUAACUAUCACAUUUUAGCAUAGCCUUAAAAAACUGCCAAUAAUAUAUGCAUGCUAAAUCCAUGUUUAUCAAGCUAACUAUCCACAUUGUAUACAGUGUGGCGAUAGUAUGGAUGGCUGCAAUCUAUUACUCAGGGAGUCUUCUAUACUAAUGAAGUAUAAAAUUCAUUGUCCAUCCAACCGGUAUGUCUUCAAAGAUUGAGAUAAAGGGUGUUUUAUAGCUCUAAGAUAUGGCAAGGAAUUAAGAAAAUAUAUUUGAGCUCAGUAUGUCUUAUUGCCUAAAUGACAAUAACAAAAUUUAAACAAUUUAAAGAGAAAAUCCAGGGCAAUGCUUAUAAGGAAGUAAAGAUAGCUAACUAUUUUUGAGUCCUGUGAUAGAUUAAUUGUGUGUCACGAAUCAUCCAAGCACAUUUGAAAGAAGUCACUUUUGACGCGUCUAGAUUACCAAAUAAGUGAAAAUGCGUCUUCAUUUGUCAUAUUUAUUACCUGAAUGUGCUAUCCAUACCACCUUCAGGGCAAUCCAGCAUAGCCACUUUAACAAAUCAUACAACUGAAACAAGUAAAAGGCCCCCAGGAGAUUAUAACACCCAAUGAGUGUUGAUGUUUUUGGACUAAAACAUAAUAAGGAACAAAUAAAGUCCCUAACAAGCACCUAUACAUCAUCUCACUACUGAGUGAAAUACAGGCAUGCCCCUCAUCAUGUAACCUCUCCAUUUCACAA
rnacentral:lncRNA from 1 species